CGUAGGUGGCAAGCGUUGUCCGGAAUUACUGGGUGUAAAGGGCGUGUAGGCGGGGAGACAAGUCGGAUGUGAAAGCCCAUGGCUUAACUGUGGAACCGCAUCUGAAACUGUUUCUCUUGAGUACUGGAGAGGAAAGUGGAAUUCCAAGUGUAGCGGUGAAAUGCGUAGAGAUUUGGAGGAACACCAGUGGCGAAGGCGGCUUUCUGGACAGUAACUGACGCUGAGGCGCGAAAGCGUGGGGAGCAAACAGGAUUAGAUACCCUGGUAGUCCACGCUGUAAACGAUGGAUACUAGGUGUAGGAGGUACCGACCCCUUCUGUGCCGGAGUUAACACAAUAAGUAUCCCACCUGGGGAGUACGGCCGCAAGGUUG
rnacentral:rRNA from 1 species